UUGUAAUCUAUAGAGGCGUUUUCCGCGCCGGACCGCGUCCAAGUCUCUUGGAAUAGAGUAUCAAAGAGGGUGACAAUCCCGUACUUGACGCGACAACCGGUGCUCUGUGAUACGUUCUCAAUGAGUCGAGUUGUUUGGGAAUGCAGCUCUAAAUGGGUGGUAAAUUCCAUCUAAGGCUAAAUAUUGGCGAGAGACCGAUAGCGAACAAGUACCGUGAGGGAAAGAUGAAAAGCACUUUGGAAAGAGAGUUAAACAGCACGUGAAAUUGUUAAAAGGGAAACGAUUGAAGUCAGUCGUGUGAAAGGUAUUCAGCCGUCUCUGGCGGUGUAUUUGCCUUUCACGGGUCAACAUCAGUUUGAUCCGGUAGAAAAAGGCGGGAGGAAGGUGGCACCCUCGGGUGUGUUAUAGCCUCCUGUCAUAUGUGCCGGACCAGACUGAGGAACGCAGCUUGCCGCAAGGCCGGGGUUCGCCCACGUACAAGCUUAGGAUGUUGACAUAAUGGCUUUAAACGACCCGUCUUGAAACCACGG
rnacentral:rRNA from 1 species